rnacentral:rRNA from 1 species
GAAUUUUCCGCAAUGGGCGAAAGCCUGACGGAGCAACGCCGCGUGGGGGAUGAAGGCCUUCGGGUCGUAAACCCCUUUCGUCCGCUCAUAUGAGUGGAAAAAGAAGCACCUGCUAACUACGUGCCAGAAGCCUCGGUAAUACGUAGGGUGCAAGCGUUAUCCGGAAUCACUGGGCGUAAAGCGUUUNGUAGGCGGAUUAGCAAGUCGGCUGUGAAAGACCAGGGCCCAACCCUGNGACCGCAGUCGAAACUACUNGUCUAGAGUGUCAAAGGGGAGGCUGGAACUGUCAGUGUAGUAGUGAAAUACGUUGAUAUUGACANGAACACCAAGGGNGAAGGCAGGCCUCUGGGUGACCANUGACGNUGAUGAACGACAGCUAGGGGAGCGAAAGGGAUUAGAUACCCCUGUAGUC